AUGCUCAGCUGGGAGCACAUACACUAAAACCGGACCGAUGUGGAGAAGAUUAGCAUGGCCUCUGCUCAGGAUGACAUGCAAAUUCGUGAAGUGUUCCACGUGUUA
rnacentral:snRNA from 1 species